GAUGAACGCUGGCGGCGUGCCUAAUACAUGCAAGUCGAGCGAGCGGCGGACGGGUGAGUACUGUCUGGGAAACUGCCGUAAGGAGGGGGAUAACUACUGAAAACGGUAGCUAAUACGGCAUACCAUCAGAUGUGGCCAGAUGGGAUUAGCUAGUAGGUGGGGGAAUGGCUCAACUAGGCGACGAUACCUAGCUGGUCUGAGAGGAUGACCAGCCACACUGGAACGGAGACACGGUCCAGACUCCUACGGGAGGCAGCAGUGGGGAAUAUUGCACAAUGGGCGCAAGCCUGAUGCAGCCAUGCCGCGUGUGUGAAGAAGGCCUUCGGGUUGUAAAGCACUUUCAGCGAGGAAGCGUGACUCGCAGAAUAAGCACCGGCUAACUCCGUGCCAGCAGCCGCGGUAAUAC
rnacentral:rRNA from 1 species